rnacentral:tRNA from 1 species
GGACCAGUAGCUCAGCUGGAUAGAGCAACGCCCUUCUAAGGCGUGGGUCGGACGUUCGAAUCGUCUCUGGUUCACCA